UGUUCCACUGCUGAAGGCAGACCGCUGCUCGAGCUGAGAAUAGACGAUGGUUAUCAUAUAAAACCGACCCACCGAAACAAAAGGCAAGUUCCAAGAUGAUGGAAAGGUAGUCAUCAAGCUCAUGACACCUGGACAACAUCACGGUACAUGGAAAAGUUGACAGCGAACACCAGAACAGUGAGGACCUUGGAGGCACAAGGAUUGGCACACUUGAGGAUGAGAGAAAUGUCAUCGGUAUCAAUGACGUGGGGAGCACCGGAGGCAGCUAAGGGGUGAAGCAAUUAGGAGAGGCUGACAUCCGCACCAUAGAGGAUCCGCGUACGUAGGGCAAAAGAGAUGAGAUGCAAAUUGAAGAGGUGAGCAUCACUGGGCAGGGCUGCAGGAGGAGCAGUGUAAAGGGAAAACAAGUACUCGACAACAAGGAUUUUAAGGAGGAAGGGUGCGGAAGUGGCAGUGCUGAGGGAGCUCAGAACUCUUGAUUGCUGCAUCGCCUGCAUGGAGACCGGGCUGGAGCAUGCGGAGGAACCGGGGGGGAACCCCGGCUUCAUCCAUAUGAGAGCUGAUGCAGCGACAUGAGGAGUCAGACGAAGCAGAUACAGCAGGUGUGGUAGGAACCGCAAUGAUGGACUUCAGCCUGGGUGUUGGACAUACAGAUUCCUGGAAGGAACACAGGCUUUCACUGAAGAGGUCAUCAACGGAAGAGACAAUGUCGAGGUCCAUGACGAGAUGAUAGCAGCGAGGAAGAGUCCGCCUUCAUAAGCUGCAAGUGACAAGGAAAUUGACCAGAGACCAUGCCCACAUUCCAGUAAACACAGUAAAUGGUACAACACCAACCGUAGUUGGUUUCACAGCUUUCCUUGAUCGAAGCCUGAAUGCCUCACACAUGUUGGCAACGCCUACAAUCCUCAAACAGGUUUGGUUUUCUAAUUAAAGAAAAGUGGUGAAAAACCUUACUUAGCUGUAGGCAUAUUUACAGCUCCAGGUGGAAGACUGUACUCCUUUAGCUACUCGGGAGCCACAUGGACUAAAACAGACCUGAAAGAAGUGCUAUAUAAGAACAAGAAGCAUGUGACCACCAUCUACGGUAGCGGAGGAGGGGGAUUUGAGGCUGUUUUCAAAUCAAUCGCACUGCAACUGAACCAAGGAGACACAGUCUACAUUGUUAUGAAGAAGAACUCGAGCGCCUUCGAGAACCGCAAUUACAAAAGCAACCACAACACUUGUAGUGGUUUUCUGCUGUAUCCACUGUGAAAGUCUAAAGGAAAGUGCGAAAUUUCAAUAGAGAAGGUGAACUUUGGUUUCCAAUGCUUACAUUAAUUGCAAAGUGAUUCAAUCCCUGGUGCUUCUGGACAUGUUCUGUCCUUUGUUUCUCUCAAAUGUGAUGCUGUACUGAGGUGCAAUCAGCUGGAUAUCUGUUAAAAUUGUUCAUGAUCUUUGAAGCCUAAUAAAAGUUUGUGAAGUGCAAAGCUGUCUGUGCAACUUUGUCAGGUUGGCAGUGUUAAAAGUACCAUAGAAUUUAUUUAUUCAGUAUUUUAACUUGUUUUCUGAAGAUAUGUGACUUUGGUCAGGGUGAAAUACAGCCAGGUAGUUUUACAAGCCCAUUUACAACUCUGUGAUUUGGCCCUAGAAUGAAACAAGUUGUUCUCCCUUUUUUGGGGGGGCUCAUGGAUAAUAUGAUGACCUCUGCUCCAAUUUGCUGGUUUACAGCGAGGCACUGCGAUGGCUCACACAGAAGCAACAUGUUGAAUCAGACAC